AGUGAACGCUGGCGGUAGGCCUAACACAUGCAAGUCGAACGGCAGCACAGUAAGAGCUUGCUCUUACGGGUGGCGAGUGGCGGACGGGUGAGGAAUACAUCGGAAUCUACUUUUUCGUGGGGGACAACGUAGGGAAACUUACGCUAAUACCGCAUACGACCUACGGGUGAAAGCAGGGGAGCUUCGGACCUUGCGCGAUUGAAUGAGCCGAUGGCGGAUUAGCUAGUUGGCGGGGUAAAGGCCCACCAAGGCGACGAUCCGUAGCUGGUCUGAGAGGAUGAUCAGCCACACUGGAACUGAGACACGGUCCAGACUCCUACGGGAGGCAGCAGUGGGGAAUAUUGGACAAUGGGCGCAAGCCUGAUCCAGCCAUACCGCGUGGGUGAAGAAGGCCUUCGGGUUGUAAAGCACUUUUGUUGGGAAAGAAAAGCAGCAGGUUAAUACCCCGCUGUUCUGACGGUACCCAAAGAAUAGGCACCGGCUAACUUCGUG
rnacentral:rRNA from 1 species